rnacentral:lncRNA from 1 species
UUAGUUUUUCUUUUGUCUUAUUCCAACAUUGCAAAUCUCUCUUCCGGGUCAACCACCUCUUCAUCAUCAUCUUCAGUAAAAGUAGCCAUCUUCAUUAUCUUCACAGCUGAAGUAGUCAUGUUCCGAGUCUUGCUCAUCUUCACAUAGAUCAACACCUGAUUCAGACUCAUCGGAUUCAGACCUGUCAUUAGCAUCUUCCAAGUCAUCGGAUUCAGACUCACCAUCUUCCGUAAAUAUAGACAGGUCGUCAUCAUCCUGUGUCAUUACCAGGUGGACCCCGAAGCUAUUAAAACGCAGCGAAUCUUGUGUCAAAUUCUGAAAAUUAACUUGACACGCAAAAGGCGACUGCGGCCAGGUAAUCUGAUCAUCCCGGUAAAACAUUUCUCUGAAUCGAAUAUAGCACAGCCACACAUGACCUGACCCUAUCUUUCUGAAAUGGUAAUCGAACUGAAUAUAAUGAGGUACCACUUCUGGUUGAUUGACGGAAAUUUUUGUUAGAAAACCAUGGUAACGUCGUCUUUUAUUUUGCGGGUUUUCAACAGCAGCAUAUAGAGCCAAUCCUUGGUUCUGGCAUUUGAAGUUUGGAGGGAUUUCAAUCAAAAGUUCACAUGCUUCAUCACGCUCCUUCACAUCGUUAUGACAGCUGAACAACGUCGAGAGAGCUUCAAAACUUGCUGGAAAUACAACCUGAAAUCCAUGUUUCUGUGAAGACAGAAGGUGAUCAAAGAAGAGUGUGAUCUGCUCCUUUGGUAGAAUGUUUGGUUUCUUUGGGAGGUCACGAGCCAGAUUGCCGCACAGUCUCUGGCAAUUACACAAGUCCACCAACUCAAUCAUUUGUGAGUCUUUUUUACCUUUCAGAAUGUUGGACAAUGAUGAAAACCUUUCCAAUGAUAUGCAAUCACUCGCCUCUAACUUUACUAUUUUUGGUGGAAGUUCCGGAAUAUCUUGAAGCCUCUUGCAGCCAUGCAAGUAAAGCUCCCGCAAAUUGACAAAUUUCAUAAUGCAUACGGGAAUACUUACAAGGAAAUCACUUCUUGUUAGAUCAAGUGCACUCAAUGUAGACACACAAUCAAGAGUUCUGAGGAAAUUAAUUUCUGAUAAAUUGCUUCCUUCCAAAGUGAAUGCCUCAAGUCUGGGAAGCGCUAAAGGAUGUGAUACUGCACUCCCCAAAACUUCAGACUUCACUUUAUUUGGAAAUGUAACAAGCUUUCGACUUCCUUGGAGACAAACGUGGUUUAGAUGUUCCAACUCAUAAAUGCUGGGUGGCAGAUUCGUAAGAUUUUCACGAUUCCUUAGGUCUAAAAAUUCAAGACUGAUGAGAUAUGCAAUUGAUGCAGGCAAUUCUUUGAAGCCACUACCAGAUAGAAACAUGCAACGUAAGGAAUCCAUCUUUCCCCCAAUUUCAGGGAAAGUCUCCAGUCUUCUGCAAUCUUCAAGAUUGAGAACUUGUAGAGAUUUUGACUGGAUUAUUGGAAAUAGUGUGAGGUUAUAGCAUCUCACAAGACUCAAGUCAACAAGCUUAUCAUGAAAUCCAACAGAAGGAUGAACCUCAACUAAACUCGUGCAGUCGUCCAGAUUCAAGGACUGUAAGUUUGGAAUUCCAGAGAUAUUUGGGGUUUUUGUUAGGAAUUCACAGCUCUCAAAAUUCAUGGACUUCAAAUUUUGCAAACGCUAUAUGAGACAAAAAUAGAAAAGAAAAAGAAGGAUCAAACGAUAAGGCAUAAACAAGUGCAAGCCAUAACUCCAAAAACUUAAUAAACUUUUGAAAAUACGAAGGGAUGAAAAUAAUUUAAAUUACCUUGAAUCCCUCCCCAAGUUGUGACAAGCGGCUACAAGGCAUAUAAAGUUCAACAAGUUUACUUGGAUUGAAAGUAGAUGGUAAAGUUUGUAGAGGACAAUCAGGCCAAUGAAGAAACCUCAACUCAUUAGAUAGAUAAUCCACGUGAUCACCAUAAAAUCGUGCAUUCACAUUGAUGAAAAGUCGAAGGUUUUUCAUCUCUGAGAAGCUGUCACCACUCAAGCAUAUGUCAUCUGGUGUCGGAAACUUUGCUAUGAUGCCUUUAAUAUUGUUUGUUCCCUAUUAUCAAAAAGCAGUAGUGUUAACAUACAAAGCUCUUUAGCAAAUAAAAAUGCAAGUGUACACAUCACACACACAGACUUACUGUUCCUUCUGUUAGAACACGAUAAACAUCCUCGUGAAACCACAAUCUGCUACGUUCACCAGGCUCAUCUGGCGACUCUUGAUAAACUAUUCCUCUACCCAAUUCUUCAAGCAAGUCAUGCAUCCCAAUUAUGCCUUGUUCAAUAUUUAUGAGGGCCUUGUCUACGAGUACUUUAAUAGCAUACUUAGGCUUGAGGUCACAACCUUCCAGGAUCGGUAUCACAUGGUUCACCUUUCUACCGUUAAAGAAACAUGCUAUAUCAAGGAAGACUUCUUGCACCGAAUAUUCCAAUGCAUCAUAGCUUAUUUUGAGAGUUUUUUUAAUGUCCGAGUGCAGAUUCCCAUCCAAUGCAUCAUGCCACUCAUCUAUACUUCUACCACAUAGAUGGGAACCUAAAACCUUGAGAGCUAAAGGAAGACCUUGAGCAUGCUUCACCACAGUUUCUGCAGCUUUCACAUAAUCAUCAUCCAAAUUUUUAUUUCUCCCACCAUUCCAACUAAUGAAGAGAUCAAGAGAUUCACCAAAGUUUAAUUUCUUGGCCUUGUAUAUAAUACUAACUUGAUGAGAUCUUAGCAAAUGCUUAUCUCUUGUCGUUAUGAUAAUUCUACUGCCCAAACCAAACCAAUCACAACCUCCAACUAAGUUGUUUAAUUGGUCCAAAUGAUCCACAUCAUCUACAAUUACAAGGACCUUUUUACCACUCAACCUUUCCUUUAUCACACUGAUUCCUUUAUCGGCACUGGUAACCUUUAUUUCCUUUCCUCUUAGAAUCUCAUAAAGAAGAAGAUUUUGUAGGUCGACUAGGCCUCCAUAUGGUAUUGAUCUUUCUCUUACAUUUUCCAGAAAACAACUCCCUUCAAACACAUGGGCCAGUGAGUUAUAAACAGCUUUAGCAACAGUUGUCUUUCCUAUUCCACCAUUCCCCCAUAUUCCUACCAUGCGAACAUCAUUUCUGUCAACGUCUAAAACUUUACGAAUAUCUAGUACACGAGCCUCUAUUCCAACUUGGUAUUUUGCCACAUUGAUAUGGGUAUCCUUUAAUACUUGUAAGGAAAUCUCGUUGACAAUGUUCUGAAUAAAUUCAGUUUCAGGGCUGCCAAUUUUAAGCACAAACAACAUUUAAAUAAAAUGGGAUUUUUCUAUAUAUGUUUUAAAGAAGUGCUCGACUCGAUACUAGUGUAAAUUAUGUCGUGAAUUUUAGAUGAUGGAGUUACUACAUCAUGAUAUUUGAUAUGUCUAGACACUUCUUCUUAUUAAAAUCUCGGUUUAUUAGUUAAAAGUUGGACUCAACAUCCAUAACUGUCUUACAUUUAUCAAGAAGAAUAAUUAAAUGAGGGUUUUAUAAUCAACAUAAGGAAGAGCUGUUUGGUAGGUAUCUAAGACUAAUAAAUUAAUUAAGUAUUUUGUUCUUGGAAAUUAUGUAAUUUAUGGACAACAUUUUAUAUAUGUUUGUUGCAUGUUAUCAUAUACCAUAGGCUUAAUUUUUUCAAAUCCUCUAGGUGUGGGAUUGCCCUGGAGAGAGAGAGAGAGAGAGAGAGAGAGAGAGAGAGAGAGAGAGAGAGAGAGAGAGAGAGAGAGAGAGAGAGAGAGAGAGAGAGAGAGAGAGGUGGUGGAUGGGAUAGAGGAAGGUGGAGGGAGGGUCAUAAGAGAGGCGUGAGUGCGGCUGUUUAUGGCAGGGAUGGGUUGAUUUGAGAACUUAUUAUUUUUUUCACAAUAUUAAACCCAAAUAAAUAAGUUAGGGAAAGUACAUCAAACAUGGUUUUCUUCUUCUGUCUUACACUCCCCUUCUAUUUUCUUACUCUAUCGUUUAAUCGCUCUUCUCGAUUUCUCCUUACUAAACAAUUGUUUAUCAAACAUGUUACUAUUGUAAUAGAUUUUGAUGUUGUCUUUUGUCUAUUUUUGCUCAUUUUGCUUCAAGAUCUUGAAUUUGUCGUUUGGUGGUUGACAAAUGAAGUGCAGAAAAUAUAUCUAAUCUGUAGUUUCUAUUCAUUUUCAGUACUUUUGAUUGCAUAUCUUGAAUUUAUAUUGUUUGAUGGCUGAGAACAUGAGGGAAAAACAAACAAUUAGAAAAUUCAUGAACAAGCUAUGAUGUUAGGGAAAGCUUGUGAUGGAAUGGACACUACGAUAACAAUAGAAGAGAUUGGUUUUCGUAACAGAGUGAUUUUAUUAGAAAGGAGAGAUGUACACUGCUUGCUUGGUGUAGAACUAUGAGGCUAUUAAUAAUGUAGCUAUUGGUUGGCUAAUUGGCCUUUCAGUGAUGUAACUAUUUGCUACUUAGUGGGUUUGUAAGAUUGCAGGAUUUCAUCCAACACAAAAAAUAAAGGACUGCAGGAUUCCACUGGCAUAUUACACAAAGCCUUGUAAUCUCCUCUGUUUCUAUUAGAUUGUGUGAGGCUUAGAUAUAAGAAUAGUGUUUGGCUUUCUAGUAGAUUUCUUAGUUACAAUUCACAUUACAACACUUCAAUCCUAUUUAUUGGCAAUGUUUUCCGGCAAGUUUGCCGACUUGACCAACCACCAUGUCUACUACUUGGCUUUAUCAAAUAUUAUCAGCCACAUAAGCUGCAGCUUGCUCUAGACUGGAGCAUUCUACAAAACUCCUUAUAUGUUUGUGGCUAUUUGUUUAGCCGGCAAAGUUCACCGACUUGGUCAUUUAGUCCAGUAGCUACCCUCUUCUAGAUUCUACUACAAUUAUCUUAGAUAUCUGAUAGCUAUUGUAGCACUUUGGGAUUCUAAAUUAUUACUCUAGAGAUUUCUACCAAAUGUCCAUCACAUUUUAACAGUUAAAAUAACAGAUUCUGCAACCCUGGGAGAAAUAAAUUGAAAUUAAGGCAGAGCCUCCUGAUCCUAAAUGUAUAUUAAAGAUAGAAAUAUACCGCAUUCAGAAAAGAAAAAAAACAUACCCCUCCAAGUAAUGCGACCCAGACAAAUUUGCAGCUUCUGUAAGGGUUUCCUUCCAUCUCAGCACCUUCUUCAUAUUGUCCUCGAAUUUACUUUCAUCAUGGUUAGUAAGUCUCUGUUCUUUGAAUUUGCGUUCAUGGUUAUUCAGUGCCUCGCCAUAACUACCUCUUUGGUUCCUUACAUCUGAGGGAUCCACUUUGUAGAAAACUGGCCAAACCAUCUGUUGCUUUGAUUUUCUACACUGAAUGAUAUGAACAAGUUCAUCCAAGCACCACUUCGAGGAUGCAUAGUUUUCAGAGAAUACGAUGAUGGAACACCUCGAUCCUUCAAUUGCAUCAAGAAGUGCUUGUGAUAUUUCUUCUCCUCUUGGGAGCUCAUCAUCUAUGAAGGUUCUGAUGCCCCUCUGGACCAAAUUUUUGUGUAGAUGGUCUGUGAAAUUGUAGCGUGUGUCCUCACCUCUAAAGCUGAGAAACACAUCGUGUGUCCAUGAAUUGGUGAAAGAAGAAGAAGAAGAAGGGGAAGGAGCUCCUAAUAAUUGAGUGGUGCUUAGAUCCAUAUUGUUGAAAAUUGAACAGGCUGAAAGGGUUGGAAAUUAUGGUGAUUUAUUGUCCAAGAGUUUCUGGUUGGCAAUGUCAGUGGAGAGAAGAAACAUGCGAGUGAAAAAUCUUGGUCUUUCUGGGCCCCAAGAGCUCCUACCCCUGCUGGGUCUCUCUAGACCCGAGGGACAGUUUAACCAAAAAUAAACGUAGUAAUAAUAACACACUGGUAACAGCACUCUCACCCAAUUGUCAUGACAAAUAGCAAGGGCUGUUACUAUUUAUGCAAAAUUGGUCAAAGAAAGUAUUCGGUACUCUGUCAUUAAGACAAUUUACGCCCCACUACAUUGCUCAUGGUUGCGUUUGUCUCCUAAAAUACAACCACCACUUACAAUUGUAACUUUUUUCAUUUUACAUUUCAAACUUCAAAUCCAGUCGGCAAUUAGACCAGUAUUAACUAGUACAUGCAGUUACAUAAAAAUUUGAAUGCAAACCCUUUGUGUCUAGAAACAAUUCUGCACUAAAAAUAGUUUUCAGUUCAACAUUGGUCGUGUGUGUUUAUUUUCUUGUCUCACCACAACAACUUCCAAAACCACAGCAAAGCUAGCUGCAGUCAUUUUGUCACAAAAUUGUUCGUUUGUUAAAAAUAGUUUAUGGUUUAAUGGUUUGUUCUGUUAAGGGAAAGCUUGGUUGCAAUAAUUAAACUUUUGGUUUAUAUAUAAUUCCUUUAAAUCCAAAUGUAAGAACCAUUAAUUCAUCCGCUAAUAGCUUGCAAAAAUUGAUUAAAAUGGAAAAACAAAAAACAAAUACACAUCAAAUUAAUAGUACAGUUAUAUAUAUGCAAGAUUAGACUAAUAUUUUAAACAUGUUUACAAGGUGUUCACCAAGGCACAAAACGGUCCAUAAGCAAACAGACUGUGGCCUCUGAAAGCGUAGAGGAAUCCAAGUCCCUCUGAAUCUGAGCCAUUCUGCUGCUCUCUUUUCUUGCUUCUUUCAACACUUGUUCUUCUUCAACCUCAUCAUCACCCUCUCCUUGUUUGCCCUUUGAUGAAAACACCAUUCGCUUCUUAGCUCCUACCUUGUCUUUCAGCUUUGCAAACUCGCUCAUCCAAACCUCCACCACUGCAGACAUAAUUGAACUACUUGAAAACUUGAAAUUAUUGCUUGGUCUUGACUCUUGAGUUUGAUCAAGGAUGAUGAGGAGAGCUGGCUAUUAUGCUUGUUGGGUUAUAUAGAAGACAGAGAGAGAGAGAGAAAGAAAGAGGGCCUUGCCCUUCAUGUGGUUUGGAUUGGAUGAAAAAUAAGUGUGUCACAGCCGUUGGAUAUAGGUUCGCACACAGGAUUUAGUUUUAGGAAUAUUCGUUGGAGAGAGAGAGAGAGAGAGAGAGCAGAAGUGGGGUAUGAGUUUUGUGGAGUGAAUGAAAAGCUUCUCCGUGGGCGUGUGUCCUCACCUCUAAAACUGAGAAACACAUCGUGGGUCCAUGAAUUGGUGAAAGAAGAAGAAGAAGAAGGGGAAGGAGCUCCUAAUAAUUGAGUGGUGUCUAGAUCCAUAUUGUUGAAAAUUGAACAGGCUGAAAGGGUUGGAAAUUAUAGUGAUUUAUUGUCCAAGAGUCUCUGGUUGGCAAUGUCAGUGGGCAGAAGAAUCAUGUGAGUGAAAAGUCUUCGUCUAUGUGGGCCCCAAGAGCCCCUACCUCUGCUGGGUCUCUCCAAUCUAGGAGAAAUUAUAGAGUAGUACCGUAUCACCACGUCAGCUGGUGAUACUUCCACUCAAAAUAUGCCAUGUGUAAUUUUUUAAAAUUAAUUAUUCUUCAUUACAGCUGGACUUUAUUUUUAUCCGCUGAAAUAAAUUAGAAAAAUAAAAAACUUAAAAAAAAAAAGAGAGAAUAUCCCAGCAACCCAACCCUUACCCCCACGCCACCCCUCUGUCGUCGUCUUCCGACUGCCAUCAACAGUCAUUAGUAAGAGAGCCAAAUCCCCACAGCCUAAUAAAUUUUUGCAACAAGGAAACUUCAUCAUCAUUGUCAAUGAAUGUUAAUAUAUGAUGGAGUUUAUUAGAUCCAAUAUAAUACCCAACACAAUCAACCCUUUCCAUAUCAAUUUCAUGCUGGUCGAUUUGUAGCCUGUUUGUUAUAGACCCACCUCCCAUCCCAACCUUCUUCACAUCUGCUAGUGAGACCUUCAUCAAUGAAAAAAUAUAUAUGGAUCUUGGGGUAGUCACCAAAAGGUUGAGAAAGUUGAAGAACGGCAACAGAGAGAGAGAGAGAGAGAGAAAUAAAUAAAAGAGAGGGACGGGGCGGCGACCAGAGCGGCGGUGCGAGGUAGGCAUGUUGGGGGUAGGCUGUGGCUAUGCUCUUUUUUUUUCCAUUGUUUAUUUUCUUAAUUUUAUUUUAAAGGGUAAAAAUUAGGUUAAUGUCCAGUUGUAAAAUAAAGUUUGAGUUGUUAAAAAAUAAAGACACAUGUCAUAUUUUGAGUGGGAAUAUCACCAGCUGACGUGGUGAUACGGUACUACUCUAUAAUUUCUCCCAAUCUAGACCCGAGGGACAGUUUUAAUUUUAUAUGAUUAUUUAUAAUUCCAACAGCUAUAUUUUAUAAUUAUCUUUUUGUUUUGCUUUCUCUUUUCGUUAUAUUUUCUUCUUUUUAUUUAUAAUUAUUGUUUAUCUUUAUUAAUGAUUGUCGUUUAUUUUUUCAAAUUCAAUGAUAAAUCACAUAAUUCAGGUCCUUUAGAAAACUACUUUCAGGUCCUUUUCACUAAUAACCAAAAUAAAUACAACCAAAUUAAUAAAUGGCUUGGCAUGAGGAGUUUAUGGCAUGGGAGCUAAGCUUUCACAAGUUUAGCAAUUUAAGAAAGAGAAAGCAUGAGUUUCUUGCAUAAUACAAAGAUCAAAAUGGGGCAGAAGAAAAUUAGGAGGAUUCCUAUCUUAGGGAAAGAAGAAAACAGCGAGAGAAGAAGAUUGGGUGGCUUGAGUAAAUUCUCAGUUGCUUGACAAAGCUUGGUCAGGCUCUGGAUGAUGAUUUUGCUGGGUAAUGAGCCCUUUGUGGUUCCAAGGGUUUGACGCAGCUGGACCUCCUCAUGAAGGUGAGGCGCACUUGCUUUCCUUCUUGGUUUUCAAAACGGAGCUAACAGAGGAAAAGAAAACAGGUAUAGUCUUUUGCCCGGUGGGUACUUUCCUUACAUACAUGGAUUUCCUUUGGUUCCUGCUAUGGCUUCCCAUUGACUGUCUUGAAGCUUUGACAAAGAUGGAGCACGAUGUCAGAUUUUUAUAAGGCGUUGGGCUGGGCUUGUGUGUACAGUGUUGGGUUAUUAACGUAUUAUCUCCAGCAUCUAAUGGGUUUUCAUCAAGCUGCCGGAAAUAGCUUACUUAUCUUAGGCAUUUUUACUGAUGUAGGUUUAUCUAAGUGUCAUAAUAGGUUACUAGAUGUCCUCCUAAGGCAUUGGACCAUUCUUUUCUCCUUCUUUCAUGCUAACCCAUGUAUUUGGGCCUGAAGAAUGGGCCUGAGUUUUAAUACUCCCAAGUAGCUUAAAACUUUCAUUCCUCGAACCCUCAAUGGGCCCUGUGAUUGCUUGUUUCCUUCCAUACCACAACAUUCUCAGCAAGCCCCGGGUAAUUUUGUGGCUUGGACUCACUUAAGCUUGUGGCACAGCUUGGUAUUAGAAUAGUGGUCCUUUGCACGGCAUUUAUUUAACAUGCUUGCAUUUGAGUUUUUAUCAUGCCGUGAUAGGCUAUAAUUGGGCCAAGUAACACUGGAUGGGUAGAUGAGCAUGAUUUUGUGGAGCCGGUAUGCUCUUGACCCCUUUUGUGCAUGCUUGCUUGGUAUGACACGUGAAUUGUGGCUUGCAUUGAUGCGUCCUUCAAAUUCUCUUUUGUUCCGAUCGGGCUCCUUUUGCAUUCAAUCUCUCUGUGUUAGGCCAGAAAUUGAUCUGGGCCUAGCUCCUUGAAUUUCUAGGCCUCAACAAAUGCAAAUCCUUUGUGACUAAAAACAAUUCUGCACUAAAAUUUUUGAAAAAUAAUAUCGAUGCCUUUAUCAACAAAAUGGCCUAAUUCACAGAAUUUAGGUAAAUUUUAAACAAAAAUUGAUUAAAAAAACCAGAGAAAUGCCAUCAUAUUUUAAUCCCCACUAGAUACAUGCACAUAAGACGCGCUUAGGAUAUUCAUUCGGAUAUAAAAUCAAUAGGAUCCAAAAUUUGGUGUUUAUCAGAUUUAGGAUGAUAAGCUAAAUUUGAUAGUCUCAAUACGACUUGAAUUGAAUUCGGUAAUCUUAUUAUAAUUCACAUUGUUUGUUAACUUGUAAUAUAAUCACCUUAAAUCACUCAAACUCACUAUGCAACACAUUUCAUUCAAUUCUUUUGUGUCAAAAUAAUUGACUACUUGAACAUCUUUUAAAAGUUUCAUUACGUCAAUGGGGUAUAACUCAGUUGACUAAGCUCUUCCACCUCCACUCAUGUAGGCAAAAGUUCGAGACACUCAGGCACCUAAUGAAUAUUUGUGUAAACCACCCCCCCAAUCACUUGUACUAUAUAAAAAAAUUCAUUACAAAUUUUCAUGUUUUUCUUAUCAUUUCCAUUAUUUUUAAAAAAAAAAUCUAGUUUUUAUCAAUAUCGAAAAUUUUUCACGUAUAUAUAUUUCCAAAUUUUUAGACCACAAAUAUUUUUGAAACCAUCGAUAUUUAGUACCUUACUUCUUACCAAAAAACUUUCUGUAAGGAUUGUAUUUUGACAUGUUUGUUGUUUGGCUCUUCUCUUGUAUUUCACAAAACCAUUGUAUUAAUUCUUGUUAUAGACUAGAGGUUGUGUCUGAAAUAGAUUGAAGAUAAAUUCGAGUCCUCACGUUGCUGCCAAAGGUAAAUCUCACAUGCAUUCUCACUGGAUUAAUACAUGUUCACGUGUAUUAAUCCAACAUUCAUUCUUACGUGUUUGCUGCAACAUUUCUCUUUAUUUCAGCUUUGACAGACUUUCUUAAAACUCUGUCUACAAAAGGAAUAAUUCUAUCUUUGGUGGUGGUGUCUUGAGCCGCUCCCAUGCUAAAAGUCUGGAGCUUGAAAAAACAGUGUGAUUUUCAAAAGCUCUAUAUAUAUAUUCUUCUAGACAGAGUUGCAAAAACAACUUUUUGACUCAUGCAUUUUUAAUAGAUGACUUAUGCCUUCUUUCUAGAUAUACUCUGGACAUGAAAACCGAGAGGGAAUAAAACUCUGAAAAGAGUUUGCCUUCAGCCAAAGUUCAUAUCCUGAGGGUUAUGAGAAUGAUUGCAUUCACAUAAAUGCUUCCCCAAGAUGACUUUAAAGCUUUAAUGGCUGGCUGUUUUUUCUUCACUUCAAUCUUCUUUAAUGUUUCAGCUAGUAUAUGUUACUUGAGAGUAUACGAUUGAUAGUAUACAUAUAACCUUCUCCGUGUAUACAUUUACAAGAUUGCGGCUGCAAACCUUUUCUUUGUUGUUGUUAUGUUGAAUUAAACUACAUGCUUCAAGUACUUUACUUCUAGUUUAUUCUUCACGACACUUAGGUUUCAUUUGUCUAGCUCAAUUAUUCUCUGUGAUUGAGAUAGAUGAAUCUUGAAAUCAUGACUCACCUCAUACAUCAAAAUUACAUACAACUAGAGCUUGGUGCUCUUGAGAGGAUUUGCUGCUACGAGAUAAAGAAAAGGUGCUUGUUGAAAGGUUGAUUGAAGCUGCCUAUAGGUGAUAGAUUGAGCUAAGUCUUCUUUCAUUUUUCUUGUAUUUCUUAAUGAGUGGAUUGGAUCUCUCCUGAUUUGGUGCUCCCAGUUUUUCACCUACUUGGGUUUUCUGGGUCAACAACUCCUGUGUGUCGUUUACUUUCAGCUGUUAAUUGUCUUCCCUUAUUAAUCACAUAAUUGUUUGUAUGUGUAUGUGUACGACUUAACAGAACUUUUUAAAAUUGGUAGGUCUUUGACCGGUAGCCUACUUCACCCCCCUUUGUAGGCUCUUAGAGCUUAGGGUUUGGUUUUACACGUUCCUUAUUUAUUGUAAAAUUAAUGAGACUAACUAUUUAUAACAAAAGCCAUAAUUUCACUCAUAAUAAGCAUCAAUAUACAUUACAGAUGCGAAGUAUUUUCCUGUCAUCUUCAUAGUGGAUGUGAAGUCAAAGGAAAUAAGAAAAUGGUCAAAAGGAAACACCGACAAACCACAAAAUGAAAAAGAAAAAAGAAGCAUCAAUACACUUUCGUUGCAACAUUGGUGUUUACCAAGUAGUUGGGGUGUGGAAAAAAAAGAAGACAAAAGGUCGAUUGUUGAUGAAGUUGACUGAAAUAGAUCAGGAUUUUCAAAAUUAACCUCCAUAAUUGUUAGAAGACAAAAUUUUGUUAUUGGCGAGUCAAUUAAUUCAUAAAAUUGAGCUUUCACAUUGGUGAAAAGUUGAAGGUUUUUCAUCUUUGAGAAGCUGUCAUCACUCAAGCAUAUGUCAUCUGGUGUCGGAAACUUUGCUAUGAUGCCUUUAAUAUUGUUUGUUUCCUAUUAUUAAAAAAAAAAAGAAGUUGUUUUAACAUACAAAGCUUUAUAGCAAAUAAAAAUGCAAGUGUACACACACACAGAGACUUACUGUUCCUUCUGUUAGAACACGAUAAACAUUCUCGUGAAAUCACAAUCUGCUACGUUCACUAGGCUCAUUUGGCGACUCUUGAUAAACUAUUCUUCUACCCAAUUCUUCAAGCAAGUCAUGCAUCCCAAUUGUGCCUUGUUCAAUAUUUAUGAGGGCCUUGUCUACGAGUACUUUAAUAGCAUACUUAGGCUUGAGGUCACAACCUUCCAGGAUCGGUAUCAUAUGGUUCACCUUUCUACCGUUAAAGAAACAUGCUAUGUCAAGGAAAACUUCUUGCACUGAAUAUUCCAAUGCAUCAUAGCUUAUUUUGAGAGUUUUUUUAAUGUCCGAGUGCAGAUUCCCAUCCAAUGCAUCAUGCCACUCAUCUAUACUUCUACCACAUAGAUGAGAACCUAAAACCUUGAGAGCUAAAGGAAGACCUUGAGCAUGCUUCAGCACACAUUCUGCAAGUUCCACAUAAUCAUCAUCCAAAUUUCUAUUUCUUGUAAAACCAUUCCAACUAAAGAAGAGAUCAAGAGAUUCAUGAUAAUUUAAUUUCUUUGCCUCGUAGAUUAUACUAACUCAAUGAGAAGUUAGCAAAUGCUUAUCUCUUGUCGUUAUGAUAAUUCUACUGCCCAAACCAAACCAAUCACAACCUCCAACUAAGUUGUUUAAUUGGUCCAAAUGAUCCACAUCAUCUACAAUUACAAGGACCUUUUUACCACUCAACCUUUCCUUUAUCACACUGAUUCCUUUAUCGGCACUGGUAACCUUUAUUUCCUUUCCCCUUGGAAUCUCAUAAAGAAGAAGAUUUUGUAGGUCGACUAGGCCUCCAUAUGGUAUUGAUCUUUCUCUUACAUUUUCCAGAAAACAACUCCUUUCAAACACUUGGGCCAGUGAGUUAUAAACAGCUUUAGCAACAGUUGUCUUUCCUAUUCCACCAGUCCCCCAUAUUCCUACCAUGCAAACGUCAUUUCCGUAAACAUCUAAAACUUUAUGAAGAUCUCGUACACUAGCCUCUAUUCCAACUUGGUAUUUUGCCACAUUGAUAUGGAUAUCAUUUAAUACUUGUAAGGAAAUCUCGUUGACAAUGUUCUGAAUAAAUUCAGUUUCACGGCUGCCAAUUUGAAGCACAAACAACAUUUAAAUAAAAUGGGAUUUUUCUAUAUAUAUUUUAAAGAAGUGCUCGACUCAAUACUAGUGUCAAUUAUGUCGUGAAUCUAUAUAUAUAAAGCAAAAAGCAGAGAAUGGUGAAACAUUCAAAAUACCAUAAAUGUCAUUGAUUAAUGCAAACAUUAAGAAUUGAAAUUAUUAAUUAAAUGAGGAUAAUAUGGUAAAUUCACACUUUUUCAUAUUAAAAAUAAAUUAAAAUUAAAAGAAAAAAAAUUAGAAAACACGUGACCAAGCUAUGAUGUUAGGGAAAGCGUGUGAUGGAAUGGACACUAGGAUAACAAUAGAAGAGAUUGGUUUUCGUAACAGAGUGAUUUUAUUAGAAAGGAGAGAAGUACACUGCUUGGUAGCUAUUAUAGAUAUUUGAUACUAUUAUCUUCAAUAUUUGAUAGCUAUUAUAGCAUUUUCGGAUCCUAAAUUACUCUAGAAAUUUCUACCAAAUGUCCAUCAUAUUUUAACAGUUACAAUAACAGAUUCUGCAACCCUGGGAGAAAUAAUGUAGCUAUUGGUUGGCUAAUUAGCCUUUCAGUGAUGUAACUAUUUGCUGCAAUUUAUAUUACUGUUGUAUUGAUUCAAUUAUAUUUAUAUAAAAUAUAUUCGUUGGUUUUUAUUAUUUUGUUAUUUUGGUUUUAUACUGAUUGUUUUACAACAACUAGUACAUCAGUCGUUAAACACCUUGCAAUUACAUAAAAAUUUGAAUGCAAACCCUUUGUGUCUUGAAACAAUUCUGCACUAAAUUUUUUGAAAAAUAAUGUUGAUUCCUUUAUCGACAAAAUGACUAAUUCACAAAAUUUAGGUAAAUUUUAAACAAAAGUUGAUUAAAAAAGACAAGAGAAAUGCCAUCAUUUUAAUCCCCACUAGAUACACGCACAUAGUGGAUGUGAAGUAGUUUCCUGCCAUCUUCAUAGUGGAUGUGAAGUCAAAGGGAAUAAGAAAAUUGUCAAAAGGAAACACCGACAAACCACAAAAAGAAAAAGACAAAAGAAGCAUCAAUACACUGUCAUUGCAACAUGGGUGUUUACCAAGUAGUUGGGGGUGUGGAGAAAAAAAACAAAAACAAAAGGUCGAUUGAUGAUGAAAGAUAACUAAAAUAGAUCAGGAUUGUAAAAAAUAACCUCCAUAAUUGUUACAAGACAAAAUUUUGUUAUUGGCGAGUUAGUUAAUUCACAACGCGUCAUGCUAACUAUUAGAUAGAAAAGUAUUCAUACGUGAGUUUAAUAUAUUAUCGUCUUUCUCAAUAAGAAAUGUGAAACAUUCAAAAUACCAAAAAAUAUCCUUGGUUAAUGCAAACAUUAAGAAUUGAAAUUAUUAAUUAAAUAAGAAUAAUAUGGUAAAUUCAUACUUUUUUAUAUUAAAAAAAUUAAAAUGAAAAGAAAAAUCAGAUAAUGAAUCUUAUUUUUAUGAGACACAACUACUCAUCAUCUUUUUAAUUCUAAAAUAAUUUUUUUUUCUUCAAAAAGCCUCUCACAAGCGCAAAAGCUCGUGCGGAGAUGCUAGUUAUAAAUAAAUAAAAACUAGUGUAUUUUGUUUUUGUUUGUUUGUUAAAAAAUAAUAUAUGGUUUAAUGGGUUGUCCUGUUAAGGGAAAGCUUAGAGGCAAUAAUUUAAACUUUUGGAAAAACAAUAAUCCCAAAUGUACGAACCAUUCAUCCGCUAAUAGCUUGCGAAAAUAUAAUUAAAAUGGGAAAACAAAAAACAAAUACACUAGUAAUAAGUUUAUGUAUCCACUAAAACUUAAUUACAUGGAGGCAAUCCAAUGGAUCACUAAUGAUUUUUUCAUCAAAACAACCUAGUUAUAUAUAAUUACCGAAAAAACUAAUGACUCAUUUUUCAUGGCCAGAGAAGCGAGCAAAGGUCCUUCAACAAAUAAAACAUGUGUACAAGGUGUCACCAAGGCACAAAACGGUCCAUAAGCAAACGAACUUUGGCAUCUGAAAGCGUAGAGGAAUCCAAGUCCCUCUGAAUCUGAGCCAUUCUGCUGCUCUCUAUUCUUGCUUCUUUGAACACUACUUGUUCUUUAACCUCAUCAUCACCUUCUCCUUGUUUGGCCUUCGAUGAAAACACCAUUCGCUUCUUAGCCCCCACCUUGUCUUUCAGCUUUGCCAACUCGCUCAUCCAAACCUCCACCACUGCAGACAUGCUUGAACUUGAAAACUUGAAAUUCUGGCUUGGUCUUGACUGUUGAGUUUGAUCAAGGAUGAUGAGGAGGGCUGGCUAUUAUGGUUGUUGGGUUAUAUAGAAGAGAGAGAGAGAGAAAGAGAAAGAGGGCCUUGCCCUUCAUGUGGUUUGGAUUGGAUGAAAAACCAGUGUGUCACAGACAGCCGCUGGUUAUAGGCUCGCACACAGGAAUAUUCCUUGGGAAGAGAGAGAGAGAGAGAGAGAGAGAGACUAGAAAGUGGGGUAUGAGUUUUGUUGAGUGAGUGAAAAGCUUCCCCGUGGGUGGGCGCACGGAACUCUCUUCUUUAGAUUAAUCUUGUGGGCGACUUAGCAUAUUACUAUUCAUAAUAAUAUUCCAUUGCAUCUUAGUUUUCCUUGUGUCUUAUUCCAACAUUGCAAUUCUCUUUCUCCGAAAUACCCAUUCACCUCUUCAUCAUCAGUAAAAGUAGCCAUCUUCAUUAUCUUCACAGCUGAAGUAGUCAUGUUCCGAGUCUUGCUCAUCUUCACAUAGAUCAAUACAAUUAUCUCCAUCAAACCUCUCAUUAGCAUCUUCCAAGUCAUCGGAUUCAGACUCACCAUCUUCCGUAAAUAUAGACAAGUCUUCAUCAUCCUGUGUCAUUACCAGGUGGACCCCGAAGCUUUUUAAACACAGCGAAUCUAGUGUCAAAUUCAGAAAAUUAACUCGACACGCAAAAGGCGACCGCGGCCAGGUAAUCUGAUCAUCCCGGUAAAACAUUUCGCUGAAUCGAAUAUAGCACAGCCACACAUGACCUGACCCUAUACCAUGACCUGACCCGUUCUUUCUGAAAUCGGACGCAGUAAAAUAAGGUUCCACUCCUGGUUGAUUCACGGAAAUUUUUGUUACAAAACCAUUGUAACGUGGUCUUUUGUUUUGCGGGUUUUCACCAGCAGCGUAUAGAGCCAAUCCUUGGUUCUGGCAUUUGAAGUUUGGAGGGAUUUCAAUCAAAAAUUCACAUGCUUCAUCACGCUCCUUCACAUACUUAUGACAGCUGAACAACGUCGAGAGAGCUUCAAAACUUGCUGGAAAUACAACCUGAAAUCCAUGUUUCUGCGAAGACAGAAGGUGAUCAAAGAAGAUAGUGAUCUGCUCCUUUGCUAAAAUGUUUUGCUUCUUUCUGAGGUCACAAGCCAGAUUGCCGCAGAGUCUGUGGCAAUUACACAAGUCCACCAACUUAAUCAUUUGUGAGUCUUCUUUACCCUUCAGAAUGUUGGACAAUGAUGAAAACCUUUCCAAUGAUACGCAAUCACUUGCAUCUAACUUUACUAUUUUUGGUGGAAGUUCCGGAAUAUCUCUAAGCCUCUUGCAGCCAUGCAAGUAAAGAUACCGCAUAUUGACAAAUUUCGUAAUGCAUUUGGGAAUACUUACAAGGAAAUCACAUAGUGUUAGAUCAAGUUCGCUCAAUGUAGACACAUAAUCUUCAGACUUCACUUUAUUUGGAAAUGUAACAAGCUUUCGACUUCUUCGGAGACAAAUGCGGUUUAAAUGUUCCAACUCAUAAAUGCUGGGUGGCAGAUUCGUAAGAUUUUCACAACUGCUUAGGUGUAAUAACUCAAGAUUGAUGAGAUAUACAAUUGACGCUGGCAAUUCUUUGAUGCCACUACCAUGUAGAAACAUGUAACGUAAGGAAUCCAUCUUUCCCCCAAUAUCAGGGAAAGUCUCCAGUCUUCUGCAAAAUUGAAGAUUGAGAACUUCUAGAGAUUUUGACUUGAUUAUUGGAAAUAGUGUGAGGUUAUGGCAACACAUAAGACUCAAGUCCACAAGCUUAUCAUGAAAUCCAACAGAAGGAUGAACCUCAACUAAACUUCUGCAGUAGUCUAGAUUCAAGGACUGUAAGUUUGGAAUUCCAGAGAUAUUUGGGGUUUUUGUUAGGAGUUCACAGCUCCUAAAAUUCAUGGACGUCAAAUUUUGCAAACGCUAUAUAAGACAAAAAUAGAAAAGAAAAAGAAGGAUCAAACGAUAAGGCAUAAACAAGUUUAAGCCAUAACUCCAGAAACUUAAUAAACUUUUGAAAAUACGAAGGGAUGAAAAUAAUUUAAAUUACCUUGAAUCCCUCCCCAAGUUGUGACAAGCGGCUACAAGGCAUAUAAAGUUCAACAAGUUUCCUUGGAUUGAAAGUAGAUGGUAAAGUUUGUAGAGGACAACCAGGCCAAUGAAGAAACCUCAACUCAUUAGAUAGAUAAUCCACGUGAUCGCCAUAAAAUCGUGCAUUCACAUUGAUGAAAAGUCGAAGGUUUUUCAUCUUUGAGAAGCUGUCAUCACUCAAGCAUAUGUCAUCUGGUGUCGGAAACUUUGCUAUGAUGCCUUUAAUAUUGUUUGUUCCCUAUUAUUAUAAUUUUUUAAAAAGUAGUGUUAACAUACAAAUUUCAAUAGCAAAUAAAAAUGCAAGUGUACACACACACACACUUACUGUUCCUUCUGUUAGAACACGCACUACUACAAAAAAGCAAAAAGACGACGGUAAAUCACCGUCGUGUAUUCGGUUUUUCAAUGGUCGUGGAAUCCACCGUCAUCUUUUCCCUCAUAAACCACGACGCUAAAUCACCGUCGUUGUUAAAAUAUACAACGUCAUCAACAAAUACAAAACGACGUCUUUGUACUGCAAAAAGAUCUAAAAAAGCAGUCGAGGAUGAGAAUAGACGACCAACUCUCUAAAAAAACCGUCGUUAAAAAGGAAAAAUAUGACACAUAUUAAGAUAACAAGGCCGCAAGAUAGACAUACAAUGACGAAAAUAAAAAUACCACGCCGUUAAAUAUCAUUUUCACGACAAUAAAAAAUUUGACGUCUUUAAAUACAUUAGAAGACGACGUUAUUGAUACCUACUACGUCGCAUAUAUAAAAACAGCCGUCGUAAAAUUAAUUUUCCACUUCGAUUUUUCGAUAAAAGAUGACGUGGAAAUAGUUGUCAGUGUCAUUAUUUACGACGUAUGUAUUUAUAGAGUAGACGUUGAAAAACGAAACAACGUCAGUUACAAAUAUAUGAGAGUCGUAUUACAAAAUUUAUACGUCAUAUUUUCAGAAACAAACAACGACGAUAAAUAUUCAACGUUGUUAAAUAAACCAACGUCGGAAAACAAUAAAAACAGACGUGUUUAGUCUGCUAAAGUUCUAGAAAAUAGUCGAGGAUGAGAAUAGACGACCAACUCAAACAAAUCACCGUCGUUAAAAAGGAAAAAUAUGACACAUGUUAAAAGAACAAGGCCGCAAGAUAUACAUACAACGACGAAAACUAAAAUACUACGCUGUUAAAUAUAAUUUACACGACAAGAAAAAAUAUGACGUCUUUAAAUACAUGAGAAGACGACGUUAUUGAAAUAUACUACAUCUCUUAUUUACAAACAACCGUCGUGAAAUAAAUUUUCCACUUCGAUUUUUCUAAAAAAGAUGACGUGGAAAUAGUUGUCAGUGUCAUUAUUUACGACGUAUGUAUUUAUACAGUUGACGUUGAAAUGCGAAACAACGUCGGUGGCAUUUAUAUAGUCGACGUUGUAUUUAUAUCUAUCAUCAUUACUCACGACGCACUUAAUAAUAUAGACGACGUUGAACUUCUAAACAACGUCGGUUCCAAAUAAAUGAGAGCCGUAUUACAGAACAUAUAGACGGCGUUGAUUAUGAUGAGAGCCGUAUUACAAAUAACGUCGUUUAAUUGUUAUUAGACGGCGGUUAUAAUGAAUUUCCGUCGGAAUUCAUUUCGUUCCUCUUCGUUUAUAAAAGAACUUGCGACGUGGAAAAUGUAUGAUGACGUCGUAUUUUUUAACGUUCAGAUUAUAUAUCUCGUUUUUUAGACGUCGGUAUUAUGGGAUUGGAGUCGUGUUAUUUUGAAUUACAUGGCGGUUCUUAAUCCUUCCCCGACGUGAUAUCCUGAAUAAUUGCUUCACAAUAGCGUCGUGGUUCUUCAUUGUUACGUUGCUUUAAGACGUCGGUAAAUAUGCUGAAUAACUGGUUCACAAUAACGUCGUGUUUUAUUUGAACGUAGAAAGUGAAGAAAUCACAUUACAAUAUAUUACAAAAUUAAUGUCAUACACUGCCAAUUACAUAAGCAUCAUUCAAUCCAUAUAUCUUCACACCCAUCUCGAAUAUUUUGACCGCCUAACUCACCCACCAGUUCAUCAAAUGUGUCAACAUUUGGCAUCCCUCUAGUAAAUGGCUCACACUCAAUUAUCACAUCACCUAAGACUUCAUCACCAAUAACAUCAUUAUAUUCUCUAUUAGGCAUUGAUAACACUACCGACCAACUAUGAUGCAUCGGGUCGUCAACAAAAAAUAUUUGUUUGACUUGAGAAGCCAAAACAAAUUGGUCAUUCCUAUGUCCAAUUUUACUCAAAUCUACAAGGGUAAAUCCAAGUUCGUCGACUACAAGACCAGAACUAUCUAUCCAAUCACACCUAAAGACUGGGAUUGUAAACUUUUGGUAGUCAAGGUCCCAAAUUUCUUGAAUGACACCAUAGAAACCCAUAUUUGAGAGAAUUGGGUUUUUAUCCUUGGCACUAGCAACUUGCAUGGUAUGUGCAAGUAAAUAAACUCCACUAUUUUGAGUUGUCCGCACAUCAUCUUGUGCCUUGAUAUUGAAUUUAAUACCUUUAAUAAGAUAGCUCCUAUAUAAUGGCACUGACAUGUUUGGACCAGCUGCUAGCCACCUUAAAUUUUCUGAUACGCCGUGAUUGUCUUCCUCAAGUUCACUUUGAACCUGCAAAUUAAUCAUAUCUUAAUUCAAUCUAACAUAUAAAUAAGAAGAAAAUUAAAAGAGAAAUAUGUUAUUCAACAACAUAUACCUUGAAGCGUAGCCAUUGAAUGAAAGUGCUAUUGUGCUUAUCCUGCAGCCACUUUGUUCUCUUUCUAAAUUUUGGAUAAGCAAUCUUGAUGUGGAUCAUAUGUUGCCUACAUGACACGAAAAAUUCAAGCAUUACGGUCCCAAAUAUAGAAGAUAAACAUAAGAAAUAAUUUAAAAUGGAAACUUAAAGAAUAAAGCUCAUACGUACUCGAUAUAAGGUAGGACUUCCUCCGUAUUCUCCAAGACAUAUAGAUGUGCUUGAUUCAAUAGGUCCUGAUCAACUACGCUCACUGUGCAACCUGAUAAUGGCUUUGAAAGUCCCAUCUUUUGGCUUGAAGGCACUCCAACUGUACUAACAUCAGAUAAAUGCUGAGUACAAAACUCUACCGCUUCUUCAGCUAUAUACCGCUCAGCAAUGCAACCUUCGGGACGAGUACGAUUCUGAACAUACCCCUUCAGCACUUUCAUAUAUCUUUCAAACGGAUACAUCCACCUAAAAUAUACUGGCCCACAUAGACGAACUUCUCUGACAAGAUGUACUACUAGAUGAACCAUGAUAUCAAAGAAUGAAGGGGGAAAGUACUUCUCAAGCAAACACAGAGUAACUACUACAUCUUCUUCCAACUUAUCUAGCUUGGAAACAUCAACAGUCUUUGCACAUAUAGCAUUGAAGAAGAAGCACAAACGAGUUAUUGCAUACCUUGCAGGCUUCUCCAAAACAGAACGAAUUGCCACAGGGAGCAAUUGUUGCAUUAAGGUAUGACAAUCAUGUGAUUUAAGGCCAAGAAGUCUUGAAUCUUGUAAAGAUACAAGAUUUUUAAUAUUUGAAGAAUAACCUUCAGGGACCUUCAUACCAUAGAAAGAAUUGCAAACCUCUCUCUUCUCUGCUCUUGACAAAUUCCAAGGCCCAGGAGGCAAACGAGUACGUCUUUCUCCAUACUCGGGUUGCAAAUCAGUUUUGACCCCCAUGUUCAAUAAAUCUAAUCGAGCAGCAAUCCCAUCUUUAUUUUUUCCAGGGAUCUCCAGCAAUGUACCAAUGAUACUAUCGCAAACAUUCUUCUCAAUGUGCAUAACAUCUAGGGCAUGCCUCACAGGAAGGUAUUUCCAAUACUCGAGAUCAAAGAAUAUUGAUUUCUUCUUCCAACAAACUCUGUCACCAUUUUCAACCAUAUGCAGCACUUCUUCUCCGGUUAAUGGCUCGGGAGGUAUGCCAUAUUCAGGUUUCCCAUUAAAAGCUGCACGUUGCCUCCUAUAUGGAUGAUUGAUUGGUAACCAUUUUCUAUGCCCAAUGUAACAAAUUUUGUGGCCAUUUUUCAACCUGUGACUAGGUGUAUCAUCGCCGCAUAUUGGACAAGCUUUAUAUCCUUUAACAACACAACCAGAUAAGUUUCCAUAGGCGGGGAAAUCAUUAAUUGUCCACAUUAAUGCAGCUCUGAGUGUAAAGUAUUCUCCAUUAUGUGCAUCAUACACUCCUCUAAUCCCAACCCACAAGGAUUUUAAAUCAUCAAUCAAAGGCUCCAAGUAGACGUCUAUAUCAUUUCCGGGUUGUUUAGGACCGGAAAUCAAUAAGGUUAACAUCAUGAACUUUCGUUUCAUGCACAGCCAUGGAGGGAGAUUAUAUGUAACUAAGAUAACCGGCCAACAACUAUAUCUGCUACUUAGAGAACUGUGGGGGAUUGAAUCCAUCAGAUGAAAGAGCCAAUCUCAAGUUUCUCGGCUCAUUACCAAACUCAGGCCAUUUAUCAUCAAGAAGUUUCCAAGACGGGGAAUCCGCCGGAUGAGACAUCUGACCGUCAAUUGAUUUUCUAGCAGCAUGCCACCAAGUCAAACUCUUAGCUGUCUCAUGUGAUUGAAACAUCCUUUUAAACCUUGGAAUUGGGGGAAAAUACCACACCACCUUCGCUGGCACACCCUCUUUCAAGAUUGAAUCUUUGCCUUCCUUCCACCUUGAGAUACCACAAGUAGGACAAUUAGUUGAAUCCUCAUACUCCUUCCUAUACAAGAUGCAAUCAUUGGGGCAUGCGUGCAUUUUCUCAUAACUCAGCCCCAAUGCACACAAAGUCUUUUUAGCCUCAUACAUGGAGGUUGGUAUUGUAUUUCCUUCUGGAAGCAAAUCGCCUUGAAGUAUCAAUAAUUCUGUAAAACAGACAUCACUCAUCCCAUGUUUUGCCUUCAAAUUAUACAACUUCACUAAUGCCGAUAACUUCGUGUACUUUCUACAACCAGGGUACACUGGUUGAUCUCCAUCCCCAAUCACAUUGGCAAACUCAUACGGAUCCGAACCAAAAUCACCAAAAUCAUUAUCAUCCAUAUCAAUUUCUUCAGACACAAAACUGUACCUACUAUGGCCAUCAUCUUCUUCAACAUUUCUGCUAGCAUUAGUAGUUGCUUCCCAAGGUUCUCCGUGAAAUGUCCAAUUCUUAUAGCUUUGGUCAAUUCCAUUAAAGUAUAAGUGAUCCCUUAUAAUUCCAACCCCAAACAACUUCAAAUUAACACAUUUAACACAUGGACAACGGAUAUGUGUUGUAGUUAGAAGAUUUUCUACAGCAAAGUUCAAAAAUGCUUCCACCCCAACUCAUAUGCCUUCGAUCUUCUAUCCGAGUGCAUCCAUGACUUAUCCAUCUCCGACACUAUAACCUAUUAUCUAUAAUAAAGUGAAAAUACAGGCAAUGACCAUCACUAUAGCAGAUUAUACAAUGAUCUAAUCGCAAGUAAUACACAACAGAGACGACGGGUUUUAAACAAAAACAGACGUAUUUGGAAUAUAUAGACGACGGAUUUUCAACAGACGUCGUCUAUUAUAAGUAAUACAAACGACGGUUUAUGAAAAAACUAUCGUGUAUAAGUAAUACAACGACGGUAGUUUAAAAAAACCGUCGUGUAAUCGUCGUCGUAAGCCUUAAAAUUCGUCGUGUCUCAGUUUAUUUUCAAGAACACAAAACCCAUUAAGAACACAACAUAUAUAUGAAACCAAGCAAGAAACCAACAUAUACAUGAAACCAAGCAUGAAAACAAUAAAUCCAUUCCCAAUUCAACAUAACAUAGGGUGAUUAAAAGAUACGACAAAAUUAAAUCCAUUCCCAAUUCAACAUAACAGAUAAUGUAAUCCAUGAACCCAUUAAACAGAAAAUCCAUGAACCCAUACCUAUAAGCACAUUAUUAACAGAUCGCAAAGCAUACACAUAAAACCCUUUAACAAAACAACCUAAUAUAACUCGAAUCGUUACUAGAAUCAUCACUCGAAUCUCCAUCUUCAUUAUCAGUUUCUUCCUUCGUAGGUACUAUUUGCUCCCCAUCAUUGGUGCACUUUGCACCUUCUCCAGAGCGGAAAAUGACAAGAUCAAAUAAAGGUGUACUUUUGCUGGAAAUCAACACAAAAAGACACAGAUCAUCAACUUCCAAAUGAUUGUCACGCACAACGUCCAUCCAACCACGCCUGAAUUGUAUAAGUUUUACAAUGUUGGUUUGAGCAAAGGAAGGCCCAGAUCAGGCGNNNNNNNNNNNNNNNNNNNNNNNNNNNNNNNNNNNNNNNNNNNNNNNNNNNNNNNNNNNNNNNNNNNNNNNNNNNNNNNNNNNNNNNNNNNNNNNNNNNNAGCAUGAAACAAUAAAUCCAUUCCCAAUUCAACAUACAUAGGGUGAUUAAUAGAUACGACAAAAUUAAAUCCAUUCCUGGAUGGACGUUGUGCGUGACAAUCAUUUGGAAGUUGGUGAUCUGUGUCUUUUUGUGUUGAUUUCCAGCAAAAGUACACCUUUAUUUGAUCUUGUCAUGAACCCCUUUAACAAAACAACCUAAUAUCAUUCAAUGAAUUUACAAGGGGAAGAUAGGGUUUGUACUUACAGGUUGGACGAGCUCACAGAUUCGACGGAGCCUGGAGAGUGCAACUUUUAAUUAGAGCAGAAGUGAGAGAGCGAAAUGUUAUGUCGCGCGAAAUCUGAAAAUUUUAGGUUUCAGGGUUCGAAGUAUAAGAAUAAGAGCCAAAUCUAAAAAAAUUUAGGUCGCGCGAAAAUUUUUAGAGCUCGCGCGUUUUAAAACGUCGAAAGAAAAACCAAGGCGAAAGUUCUACAAGUACCGACGUAAAUUUAAUAUUCCACGACGGAAACUUCAUUUUUCGAAUUAAGAACGUAAGGCCGUUCAUUUUGAAGCUUCAUUUUUCGGAUUAAUUUUAAAUUUAUUUUGAAUUUUUUAUAUAACGACGACUGAAAAACCACGUCGGUGUUAAGAAAUUAAAGACGUUGUAAAUCAUAUAAACCGACUUACAUAUUAAAAUGACGUCGUUUAAAGCGUAAACCAUGUCGUAUGUUUUUCUGUACGACGUAAAAUAUGUAUUCCACGACGCAACCACCGUCGUUAAAAAUUAAUACCCUAAACCCAUAAAACUAAAUUAUACAAUUUAAAAAAUUAAGUUUAUAAAAGGUUUUAUGGUUUUAAAGCCUAACAUAUACCCUAGACUACCCAAAAAUUAUACUUUAAAAAUAAACCCCAAUAAAUAACAACCCUAAUCUCUAAACCCUAGACUCUAAACCCUAAACCAUAAAACUAGAAGUGAUUUUAUGACUCAUCAAAACAAUUUUGUUUUGGAUGGUCAUUUUAAAUUUUUGUUAUUCAAAAUGAAUUUUUUCAAGGUUUAUGUGGAAGAAAAUAUAUCAAUGACUUCAUAGGAGUGGACUUUUCAAUUUUCUGAUUUAUUUUAAAUUUAUUUUGAAUAUUUUGAUAUAAAAAUAAUAAAAUAUUCUUACCACAACAACAAACCACGUCGGUGUUAAUAAAUUGUAGACGUUGUAAAUUGUAAUAAACUACUAAGUCGUUAAAAUGAGUCGUUAAAAUGAGAAACCAUGGCAGCUAUUUAACUAUACGACGUAAAAUAUAUAUUCCACGACUUAACCGCUGUCGUUACAUAAACGAUAAACGACUAUUAGGGUUGUAAACCAUAAACGACUCAAUUGUUCAAAGAACGUCGUCUAACUAUAUUUUUACGUCGUAUUUGUUUAAAACACGAAACAACAAAAUACGACGGUUUUUGACUUUAUUAGGUCGUUGGAAAAGUAUUACACGUCGGUUAAGCAAUUUGUAUGUUUGUUUUUUUUUUAAUUUAAGAAAACCUCAACAAAUUUUUACAUUACAUAUUAUAGAGAAAAUUUGUACAUUAUACAUAAAUAUCAAGUGUUCAAUAAUUGCCCUGUUUAAUAAUUUGGAAAACAAACUCUGCCCAUUCAUUCCGGACUUCAUCAAUGGCUUCUUGGGGGUAUGAAGCUUCCUGGUUUCCCUUGGCAUACUGCAUAAACAAUGACUAUUAGGGUUUAUAAAUAAAAAGAAAUUCAAUCACAGACAACGAUAUUUUUCAUAACCGACGUAGUAUAUCCAUUCAACGACGUUAAUUUUACAUGACCGUCGUUGAUAAUACAAAAAACGACGUGAAAUGUAUGAAGGUAAUUUCUUCUUACCUUAUUCUCAAACCCCAAGGAAGGAUCCAUGAUGAUGUCCCUCAUGAAGCGCAUCACAUAAUACCCGCAUUCGACAUUGCUGGGUUGCUUUGGUGUGCCUGAGAGAGUUUUCCAAAUUACAUUUUUACGUCCUGCUCGGCCUAUGUGGGUAUUAUAUAUUUUUAAAGCACUGUUCACGAUGUUUUUCGCCUCUUCGUCGACCACACGAUGACCUGGCAGAGGAUCCAGAAAAUAGACGGUCUCCUUCUUUGCUCUUACAAUCAGCAAGAUCCAAUGACGGCUGCACAAAAUUAAUAUAAAAACGACGGUUAUUUACAAAAACGACGUAUUAUAGUAUUUCACACGACGAAAUAAAGUAGAUAACGACGACAUUAUAUAUUUAUCACGACGAUAAAUAAAUACCGACGUGGUUAGUAGUUUCAAACGACUAAAUAAAAUAAAACACCGACGUGGUUAGUUUAUAUGCUGUCAUUUAUUGAAAAUCAUAAAAACAAAAUCCUAAGGAGACUAACCCUGGAUUGUAAGGCAUCAUGAAAAUCUGUUCACCGUCUGUCUUCUGAAGUCGAGCUGCUACCAGUCGUGAUCUUUCAGUUAUUGUGCCAGAGUUGGCACUAACUGUAGCAGGGUCGAUAAAGCCAACCAUGCUGCACAUAUUGGCUUGUUUCAAAACAUCGUGUAAGUACCUAAAUACAUAAAAUAAUAUAAACAAGUCAGCACAAACAAACACGACGGUUAUGUAUAAAAAAACGACGUAUUAUAAUAUUUCACACGACGUACUGAAAUAGAUGAGGACGUUAUAAUAUAUUUAUCACGACGGUAGUUAGUUAAGACGACGUGGUUAGUUAGUUAAGACGACGCAAUAUAUAAACCAACGAGGUAUUAUUUUAGAAGUACAAACCUCAUAUAUACAGCCAAUACAGUAGCUCCAAUUUCUUCCAUGCCUGCAAAUUGUGUAAUAUCUUCAGGCAGGAGGAAGGUAUCGCGCUCACCACCAAACACCUCAUUAUCAAUUGUAAAUUAGAGUGUCUUAUCCUCAGGCAGGAGUGUCGUUUCCACAAAACGACAAAGGGUUUUUAAAGAAGAUGGCGCCUCCAUAUUUGAAUAAGCACCAACUUCAAUAACCUGUUUAAAGAAAUAAAAAAAAUGACGUGGUAAUUCAAUAAAGACGACGGUUUAAGGAAUAAAACGUCGUCUUAAAAGUAUUUAAACGACGGUGAAAAAACUGUCGUGGUAAUUCAAUAAAGACGACGGUUUUAUGAAUAAAGCAUCGUCUGAAACCAUUUAAACGACGGUGCAAAAACCGUCGUUUAAAUAUUUUAUUACGUCUUAAAAAAAGUCCGCCGUCUAAGUUUUAAACAAACGACGGAUUAAAUAAAAAUAUCGACGUCUGAAAUUUUGAAAAACAAAUAAAAAAGGCAAAGUUAUGUGAACAUACCUUGUCGUCAUGCUUUUCUUCAUCUUCUUUCUCCUUUUCUUCUUCCUUCUCUUCAUCUCUUUUUUCUUCUUCCUUCUCUUCAUCUGGCUGAUGUUUCCCCAUUUUGGCAGUAUCAUCCUCCAAAUGUAGGGAUCUCACAUCACCUCCAGAGCAGCUAGCUUUGUCAGACAUUGGAUUUUUGGGGCUUUGGCUAAUUCUUGGUUUAAGCAUGCUUGGAUCAAAAUUGGGAAUUAAUUGGGAAAGCUGACUCAGGAAAUGCUCCCUCUCAGCCUCUACCAAUUGUUUUGUCCUAGCCUCCAUCCUUAAGGCCUCUUCCCUUGCCUUAGCCUCCAUCUUUUUAGUCUCUUCUUGAAGGAGAACUCUUAAACUGUCCUUCAAACGGUCGUCAAAGCUCACCCUCUGUGGUUUAGGCAAAUUGAAAUAUUGCCUUGGGGGAAACACCAGCACCAACUCCCUUCACUCUGCCAGGAUGCUCGGGGCCCAAAGCCAUGGUCAGCACAUCAUUGCUGCCAUCUACUCUGACUUUGCCUUCCGAGACUUGUUUCUGAAAUUCAUCCUAAAAAAAGAUAAACAAAAAAACACACGACGGUUAUUUAUGUACAAACGACGUAUUAUAUAAUUUCACACGACGCAAUAACGUAUAAACCGACGUUAUUAUAACUUAUCACGACGGUAGUUAUACCGACGUGGUUAUUUAUUUAAAACGACGAAAUGAAUAAACUACCGACGUCUUAUGCUAUAAUUAAAGAAAACAGAGUAGUGAUUCCUAUUUAGACCGUUAACGACGUUUUUAAAAAAGUUUCGACGUGGUAAUAUCAUUCAAACGACGCCAAAAUGAACCACCGACGUCUUAUGCUAUAAUUACAGAAAACAUAGUAGUGAUUCCUAUUUAGACCUUUAACGACGUUUUUAAAAACUUCUCGACGUGGUAAUAUCAUUCACACGACAGAAAAUAUAACAUACGACGUAAUAAGAAUAAUUCACAGUUUAAUAAAAAUUUAAAACAGAGUGAUAGUAGGCUUACAAUUAAUUUUGCUUUCUCUGCCACCUUUGGAUCAGGGAUGUUACCAUGUUUGUCCUGUCUAGCUCUCUUCCAUAAGGUAGAUCGAUCAAUUUCUACCCAGGCAUGGUUUCCUCCAAUUGAUCCUCCAAUCCAGCAUAUCCUUUUCGAGACAAUCGAUGAUUGUACUCGAGUUUCUCCCUAAUCUGUGCAUGUUGAGAAUGCACAGACUCAAAAUCUUUGGAUAGCCUUGAAGCUACAAAGGCAUCCCAUUGUGCUUUCUCUAUGAAUUUAUAUGUUUCAGGGGGUUGGCUUAAUUUCUCCCUGUCAUUGGUGUAUGGAAGGAUAUAAUGCCUCGUUAGUGUAGACUUGAAAUCCUUCCAUUUCUUGGAAGCAGAAGCUAAAACAGAGGUCUUGCCCCCUUGGCCUACGACAAAAGCCAUGUCAACUGCUUCCCAAAUCUGCUCCUUUAUAUCCUUGGAGAUUUGGGACCAUUUCUUGUCCACAAGUGGGAUCCUGGAGCGUGCCAACACACCAAUAUACGACUGCAUCUCAAUAUGUGCUUGGCUAACACCUUUUCCCCUUUUAUUGUACUCAACAAUUGGCCUCAGUUUCUGAAGCUUUCUCUUCACAACACGAGGCAUUGUGCUCAUACCUCGACCAGUCUUUGAAUCAUCAGAGAUUGUUGUCUGGCUGGUUGGUUCUGUCUCAGCAGAUGAUGAAGCAAACUUCAUCUUCUUCGAAGACUUCAUCUCCUUCGAAGACUUGUCUUGAGGAGCUACCAUUCCAAGCUUCUUGGAGCCAGAAUCCUUAGUUUGUUGUUGAGAAACCAUUUUAACAGACAAAACUGCAAGUGAAAAUAUUUCAGGAAAACAUUAAGAACACAAACGACGGUAUUAAAAAAAUACGACGUCUGAUAUGAUUUUAGACGACGCAAUGAAAUAAUCUCAGACGUAAUAAAUGUUUAAAACCAUUAUUUAUAUAACGUCGUGGUAUAUAUGUUCACACGACGUCAAUAGUAAUACACCGUCGUGGUAAACUAUUAUUUAUAUAACGUCGUGGUAUUUAUGUUCAUAAGACGUCAAUAGUAAUACACCGUCGUGGUAUUAACAUUCACACGACGUAAAACAAUAAGAUAUUUUGUCGUCUAUAUUAGAUACCAACCCUAGUUUCUUUUUCUUUAUAUUUUAUCAAAUAAGGGAAAAACAAAAACCAUUGUUCAGAGAAAUCAAACCUGCAAUUAAACAAGCAUAUAAAAAAAGACUAUUAUUUUAAAAACAACUUUGUCAAUUUUCAGACGACGCUAGAACAACUGACGAACCGUCGUGGUCUACCGUCGUCUUAUUUAGUUGAGGUAGUUGUCUUCAAAGUUGGAAACUUUCCCUCUUUGUCUGUAUAUUUUAUCAAACUUGGAAAGAAGUAAAAUGAUUUUGGCCAGAAAAAAGGUAAAAAGAUUUUUCAAACAAAAAACGUAUGAGCAUGCAAAACAGUAACCAAAAUAGUGAAAAUGAAAGCUUACCUUUUGCGUGCAAUGAAAGCAAGAGGAAGAUGAUCGAUGUUUAAGUUCAGAGACGACGAAGAAGACGAGAGGAAGACGAUGAGAAACUCUGACAAUGCUCUGACAAGGAAAAAAGACGAAAAGGUUUCUCUGGGAGAUUGAAAUUUUUAAUCGGGUUUGGAAACAGUGCAUGUGUAAGUCGAAAAGUUGCUUACAUAUAAAACCAUUUCAAAAAAAUAAUACGGCGGUUACAUUUAACUACGUCGUUUUUAACUAAAACGACGCAAUAUUUUUCAUUCGACGUGGAAUCAUUUCAUUUAACGUCGUUAGGUUUAAUAUAACCGACGUGGAUUUUAAUUUUUAAAUUAUGAAUAGAAUUUUUUUUCCCGUGACCUUUCAGUUUAUUUUUCAAUUACAGUGCGUUAUAAAUAGAGUUUUUUUUCCGGAGGAAAUUUAAAACGAAGGAAAUUAAUAUUCUGCAAUAUGUAAAGUUUCUUUUUUGGAUGACAGAUUUAAAUAAAAUAAGAAUAUAAAAACAACAAAUGUGUAAGUCAAGUAGACGAAAAGUUGCUUACAUAUAAAACCAUUUCAAAAAAAUAAUAUGGCGGUUACAUAUAACUACGACGUAUAAAUUACAAAAUACGACGGUACAUUUAACUUCGGACGUGGUAAAUAAAUACGACAGUAGUUUGUAGGUACCGUCGUAGUAAACUCAAAAAUUAAAGUACAUAAGUAAUAACUCGCGUCAUGGUAGAUUAUUUAACACGUCGUCUUUAUUAAUUUACCGACGUGGAUUUCUGUAAUAUACGUCGAUCAUACCGACGUUGAUUUUACAAUUUAAACGGCGGUUUUUUUGUAAGGACCGCCGUUGGUUUUAAAAAUUUAUUCUAUAAAUUUGUCGCUUUCAUUCAUUUUCGGUUUACAUUUAAGGUUCCAAGUUCUUCCUCUCUCAGUCUCUCAUGUCUCAAAGACAAUAAUUUGGAUGUUUUCUCAAAGAGAAAUUGAGCUUACUCGCAUCAAAUAUAUGUCCACAAGAAGAAGCUUGUCAACUAGCCUUCUCACUUCCUUGAUCAAGCCUGAUAGGACACUUAAUGCUUCUGAAUACUCCUUGCUUUCCAUCAAAAGAGAUGCAAGCCUGGCCUCCACUCGCUGUCGAAGGAAAGUUCGCUUCUCAGGGAAAUCUGAAGAUCAGAUGUGCCUGAUCCUCUGCUUGAUUUUCUUGCCUAAGAAGAUCCGUCGGAUUUGUGAUAGCCUCUUCCUUUAUCCGUAGAGCUUCAGAAGAAGAAGAUGGGUUUCAAGAAUGCGAUAAAGAAUAGAAAUGGCUUCAGAUGGCCUCUAAAGCAUGAGCAAUUGAAUCAGUAGUUUCUGGGAGAUAUGAUGAAGACAUUGUCAAUGCUUUGAACUAUACAAGUCCUGCAAAAAGAUAUGUUAAAGAAACUGAAACAACGGCGGUUUUCUGUUCUACCGUCGUCUUUUCUCGUCGUCUAUAUUAAGUUAAGAUGGCGGUAGAUUUAUAAUUACCGACGUAGAUUAUUUUGUUAAACGUCGUUAAGUGUAUUACAACCGACGUGGAUUUUAUUUUUAAAUUAUAAAUAGAGUUUUUUUUCCCGUAUUCUUUCAGUUUUAGUUUUCAAUUCCAAAGCGUGAUAAAUAGAUUUUUCUUUCCCGAGGAAAUUUAAAAUGAGGGAAAUUAAUGUUCUAGAAUUUGUAAACUAACACGACGCAAUAUUUGCAAAUCUGUGUCAUCUGUUAAGAUUAUGAUGUGGAACAGAGUUCCAUCUGGUAAGAUUUCGUAACCCUUGGGAUCUCAGACAAAUCUGAUUAUGUCAGCGGUGUUCUAUAUAAACCGUCGUGGUUAUUUCAAUUCUUGUCAUUAAGUAGAUCUACCGACGUAGGAUAAGAAAAUCAAAGAAAAAAAUUGUUAACAAAAAUUCUUAUUAAGACGACCGUUAAAAUUAAAGGUACGACGUAUAAAAUGAAUAAAUACGACGAUAAAUUUUAUUGUACGAUUUAAAGAUAACGUCGUAGAACUAUACGAGAAUGACGUCGAUAUAUUUAUAUUUUCCGUCGUUGUAAAUUUAUUUAAUACGGCGAUAUUUUGUAUUUUAAAGCCGUGGAUUUGUUUGUAAUUAUACGGCGUCUUAUACGAAAACCUCGUCGUGUUAUUUUAUGAGUAAAAACGGCAGUUUUUAUUGAAAUCGUCGUCUUUACUUUCUACGUCGGUCGAUUCAUAACUUCUGCCGUUCUUUGUUGGCAUUGAUUUUACACUGCGGAAAUCUGUUUCAAAUAGACGUUGGUUGUUUAAUUAUGUACGUCGUUGUUUUUGAACAGCCAUUUGAAACUCCAUUUUUUAGUUGUCUAAGGUUGUAUUACACGACGGUGUUUUUAGAACCGUCGUCUUUUUAUAAACCACGACGGUUUUCACUUAGACCGUCGUUGUUUUCUAGUCGUCUUUUUCACUUUUUGUAGUAGUGACGAUAAACAUCCUCGUGAAACCACAAUCUGCUACGUUCACCAGGCUCAUUUGGUGACUCUUGAUAAACUAAUCCUCUACCCAAUUCUUCAAGCAAGUCAUGCAUCCCAAUUGUGCCAUGCUCAAUAUUUAUGAGGGCCUUGUCUACGAGUACUUUAAUAGCAUACUUAGGCUUGAGGUCACAACCUUCCAGGAUCGGUAUCACAUUGUACACCUUUCUACCUUUAAAGAAACAUGCUAUGUCAAGGAAAACUUCUUGCACUGAAUAUUCCAAUGCAUCAUAGCUUAUUUUGAGAGUUUUUUUAAUGUCCGAGUGCAGAUUCCCAUCCAAUGCAUCAUGUCACUCAUCUAUACUUCUACCACAUAGAUGAGAACCUAAAACCUUGAGAGCUAAAGGAAGACCUUGAGCAUGCUUCACCACAGUUUCUGCAGCUUUCACAUAAUCAUCAUCCAAAUUUUUAUUUCUCCCACCAUUCCAACUAAUGAAGAGAUCAAGAGAUUCACCAAAGUCUAAUUUCUUGGCCUUGUAUAUUAUACUAACUUGAUGAGAAGUUAGCAAAUGCUUAUCUCUUGUCGUUAUGAUAAUUCUACUGCCCAAACCAAACCAAUCACAACCUCCAACUAAGUUGUUUAACUGGUCCAAAUGAUCCACAUCAUCUACAAUUACAAGGACCUUUUUACGACUCAACCUUUCCUUUAUCACAUUGAUUCCUUUAUCGGCACUGGUAACCUUUAUGGUCGCUUACUGAAAAAAGCUAGUCAUGAAGUUUUCAGGGGGAGAUAUUCAUCAGGGGGAGCAUGGUAUUAAUAAAGACCUUCACACACUGUACUCUUUUUCCUUCAUCCAGGUUUUUAUCCCACUGGGUUUUUCCUGGUAAAGUUUUAACGAGGCAGUAUCGCUGAAGAUUGACUCACAGAAGCAGUGUCAACUACGAUAUUCAGAAAGAUGAUCAACAGUAUGGCUUAAAGAUAUUUUGCCAAGCAUCAGGGGGAGCGUGCUACCAAUAAAGAUCUUCAAACACUGUACUCUUUUUCCUUCGUCCAGGUUUUUAUCCCACUGGGUUUUUCCUGGCAAGGUUUUAACGAGGCAGUGUCGCACGCGUGUCAAUAUACACAGAAUUUUAUGUUACACAUGAUUAUGUACUCUUUUUCCCUUUGACCAGUUUUUGUCCCAUUGGAUUUUUACUGGCAAGGUUUUUAACGAGGCAUAUUCCAUAUCAUUUGUGGUCUCCAAGGGGGAGUGUUGUAAAUAAUAAGGUGGAGCCCACCUCCAAUUGAAAGAGGCUUUGCCUACAAAAGGGUUCACACCAUUCCUUUGUAAUUUGAGAUUGAUAAUACUAAGAGAGGAAUCCUACUGUUUCCUCCUAUCUCAAUUCCCUCUCCACUUUCUCUAGAUUUAUAACAUUUUCAACAUUUUUCAUGUAUUUUUCGGUUUCAUAUCGUGAUAUAUUGCCCAAAUAAUGCAUGAAAAAUGUUGAAAUUAUCGUCUACGACAUUAUCCCGAUAAUAUCGACAAAAAUAUUGAUAUAUUGACGAUAAUUAAGUGGAUAUGUGCAAAAAUAUCUCCCACUCAAAAAAGAAUUGACGAUAUUUAAUACUAUGGUUGUGAUCAAUGUUAUGGCUAGUACCCAAUGUUAUAUAACUCGCAAGAAAGAAUUCAACCUACCCGUAGUUUAGACAGUAACUAUUUAAUUAAAGAUUACAAUCUGGUUUGGUUAAGUUAACUGACUAUAUAUAUUCUGGAAAAAAAAAAACUGACUAUAUAUAUAUUUAUAAAUAAAUAAAAACAACUUGUGUACUUUGUUUUUGUUUGUUUAUUUGUUAAAAAAUAAUAUAUGGUUUAAUGGGUUGUCUUGUUAAGGGAAAGCAAUAAUUUAAACUUUUGGAAAAACAAUAAUCCCAAAUGUAAGAACCAUUCAUCCACUAAUAGCUUGCAAAAAUAUAAUUUAAAUGGAAAAACAAAAAACAAAUACACUAGUAAUAAGUUGGGAGAUUCAUUAUAAUACCCAAUAUAGGAGUCCAAAUUAUAAAAAAAGCCCUAUAUGAAAUAGACUUUAGAAACACACCAAAAGCUCAUUUACAACAUAACAAAAAGGCUUUUAACUUCUUUUAAAUUACAAUAUUGCCAUUGAUUUCUUAAAACAAACCCAGCCCAAAAACCUCAUAAAAAAGCCCAAAACACUCAAUGGGGCAUCGAAGUAAUUUAAUGAUUAUAAUUAAAUUCAACAGGGUCUGCUGUCAUUUUUUGGGUUUUUUUUGAGUAUGUUUAUAGAAAUUAAAUAGUGUAGGAUUUAUUUAUAGUUUUAGUGCUAAGAAUGAGUAUUUGACUAAAUAUUUCUAAUGAGUUUAUGUAUCUACUAAAACUUAAUUACAUGGAGGCAAUCUAAUGGAUCACUAAUGAUUUUUUAAUCAAAACAACCUAGUUAUAUAUAAUUACUGAAAAAAAUAAUAAUCUCAUUUUUCACGGCCCGAGAAGCGAGCAAAGGUCCUUCAACAAGUUAAACAUGUUUAGAAGGUGUCACCAAGGCACAAAACGGUCCAUAAGCAAACGAACUUUGGCAUCUGAAAGCGUAGAGGAAUCCAAGUCCCUCUGAAUCUGAGCCAUUCUGCUGCUCUCUUUUCUUGCUUCUUUCAACACUUGUCGUUGUUCUUCAACCUCAUCAUCACCUUCUCCUUGCUUGGCCUUUGAUGAAAACACCAUUCGCUUCUUAGCCCCCACCUUGUCUUUCAGCUUUGCCAACUCGCUCAUCCAAACCUCCACCACUGCAGACAUGCUUGAACUUGAAAACUUGAAAUUCUGGCUUGGUCUUGAAUCUUGAGUUUGAUCAAGGAUGAUGAGGAGAGCUGGCUAUUAUGGUUGUUGGUUAUAUAGAAGACAGAGAGAGAGAAAGAGGGCCUUGCCCUUCAUGUGGUUUGGAUUGGAUGAAAAAUCAGUUUGUCACAGACAGCCGUUGGUUAUAGGCUCGCACACAGGAUUAAGUUUUAGGAAUCUUCCUUGGAAAGAGAGAGAGAGAGAGAGAGAGAGAGAGAGACAAGAAAGGGGUAUGAGUUUUGUUGUGUGAAUGAAAAGCUUCCCCGCGGGCGGGCGACUUGGCAUAUCAUCAAUAGUAUUCCAUUGCGAAUCUCUUUCUCCGAAAUACCUAUUCACCUCUUCAUCAUCAUCUUCAGUAAAAGUAGCCAUCUUCAUUAUCUUCACAGCUGAAGUAGUCAGGUUCCGAGUCUUGCUCAUCUUCACAUAGAUCAACACAAUUAUCUCCAUCAAACCUCUCAUUAGCAUCUUCCAAGUUAUCGGAUUCAGACUCACCAUCUUCCGUAAAUAUAGACAGGUCUUCAUCAUCCUGUGUCAUUACCAGGUGGACCCCGAAGCUUUUAAAAUGCAGCGAAUCUUGUGUCAAAUUCUGGAAAUUAACUCGACACGCAAAAGGCGACUGCGGCCAG